rnacentral:rRNA from 1 species
GAUGAACGCUGGCGGCGUGCCUAAUACAUGCAAGUCGAGCGAACGGACGAGAAGCUUGCUUCUCUGAUGUUAGCGGCGGACGGGUGAGUAACACGUGGAUAACCUACCUAUCAGACUGGGAUAACUUCGGGACACCGGCGCUAAUACCGGAUAAUAUUUUGAACCGCAUGGUUCAAAAGUGAAAGACGGUCUUGCUGUCACUUAUAGAUGGAUCCGCGCUGCAUUAGCUAGUUGGUAAGGUAACGGCUUACCAAGGCAACGAUGCAUGGCCGACCUGAGAGGGUGAUCGGCCACACUGGAACUGAGACACGGUCCAGACUCCUACGGGAGGCAGCAGUAGGGAAUCUUCCGCAAUGGGCGAAAGCCUGACGGAGCAACGCCGCGUGAGUGAUGAAGGUCUUCGGAUCGUAAAACUCUGUUAUUAGGGAAGAACAUAUGUGUAAGUAACUGUGCACAUCUUGACGGUACCAAAUCAGAAAGCCACGGCGAACUACGUG